UACGUAGGGUGCGAGCGUUAAUCGGAAUUACUGGGCGUAAAGCGUGCGCAGGCGGUUUUGCAAGCCGGAUGUGAAAUCCCCGGGCUCAACCUGGGAAUGGCAUUCGGGACUGCAAGGCUGGAGUGCGGCAGAGGAGACUGGAAUUUACGGUGUAGCGGUGAAAUGCGUAGAUAUCGUAAGGAAGACCAGUGGCGAAGGCGGGUCUCUGGACAGUUCCUGACGCUGAGGCACGAAGGCCAGGGGAGCGAACAGG
rnacentral:rRNA from 1 species